AUAAUACUCCCUCUGUCCAACAAAGGAUGUCUCAAUUUUGACUAAAUUUGAAUGCAUCUGUAUACUAAGUCAUGUCUAGAUACAUCCAAAUUUUGACAAACUUGAGACAUCUUUUGUUGGACGGAGGGAGUACCAA
rfam:Brachypodium distachyon strain Bd21 chromosome 5, whole genome shotgun sequence.